GAGCCGCUAGCUCAGUUGGUAGAGCAACAGCCUUUUAAGCUGUGGGUCGUAGGUUCGAGACCUACGCGGCUCACCA
rnacentral:tRNA from 1 species